CCUGUCCCUAGAGGCAUUGCAGAUAUGGUUGCCAUGACACAUAUGUAUCCUUGGGUGACUGAAAGGAGAGAGGGUAUGUCCAUGUUCCAUGUUCUUACCUAUGAAUAUCUGAAUGAUUAGUAGUGUAACAUU